CCCCGCGGGCCCGGCAGGUGUGUGGGGGAGGGGCGCUCCAGCGCGGCCCCAGAGGCCCACAGGUGGCCGGCCCGACGCCGUAGGGGCUGAGCGCGGGGGAUGCGUCAGGGAGGCCGAUAGGGCCACAGUGGGACUCCUUUCCACAGGGCGGGCUGCGUGCGGUGAGCGGGCAGGUAGGAGGCCUUCGCUCAGGUGUCCUUAGGGCGUGGGCCCCCGGCUGUUAGCCCUCCAUGGGUCGCAGGGCGUUGAUGACAUGACGUGACCUGCAGCGCGAGGUUGCAGGAGGCUUCUGGCUUCUGUGGCUUCCCGGCUGUGGCGUGGGCAGCAACGAUCCCUGGUGGCAGAUCCGGUCCCUUGAGCGACCAUCUUUGCAGGCUUCGGACUCCUUCUCCUCCUGGGCGCAGGGCUGCCUGCUGUGUGGCCCCCACUGGGCCAGGACCCUCAGCCCAGUAUGGACUCGAGAGCCUUCUGUGAGCUCAGCUCACGGGUGCACCGGGUCCACAGCCAGGGGGGCCACUCACAAAGCCAGCUUGACCUGACCCUGGCGCAGAGCCGGGAGGCCCCUGUGUCACUGAAAUAAAGGCGUUCUCUGCGGGCGGGGGCGGGGCCGAGCCAGGAGCUGAGCAGCAGCUCUCAGCAGAGAAAGUGAAGGUUCGUUUAGGGAGUUGGCACCAAGCCAGGAGACACAGAGAAGCCAGGGCCCCCAGCGGAUGGGUUAUACAGAGGAAAGACGGUUGGUGACCAUAGCUGAGGGAGUUGGGGUCCUGGCCCUACUGAUUGCUGUGGGCCAGGUCAGGAGGCGGUUCAUCAUGGCCUCGGGUCCUGGUGUCGGCCAUGGCGUCGUCCUGUCUGGCUUUGUGAGGAGAUCACGGUCACUCUGCUUGCACAGGUGGGGGCUGAUACAUAGCUGAGGCUGAGGCGUUAUCUCUGUUUGACCCAAACUUUGCUCUACUUUGAGGUCUGGUCGUCGUAUUUUCGUCAUGGCCGGUAGAUCUGAGGCUUUCUUCUUAGCGUGACACUGAUCGGGACCUCGGGUCCCACGGGCUUGGGGGCCUGGCGGUUUGGGCGCGGGUGGGGCGGGCCGGCUGGGAGAACGUGCGUGAACUUGUGGCACUGUUAGACUGAGCGCGGCCAGCCUGGGUUAGCGGGAGUCACAGCAGAGAGUUCACGUGUGGCUGCACCUGUCAGAACAAAGCCGGAGCCGUGGGCCUGGCGACUGUGCCUUCUGCCCUCUGUCCGUCUGUCUGUCUGUCUCUAGGUGCCCCGUGAGGGCCUUGUCCUUCAGCCGAUAUUCACAGAGCACCUGCUGUACCCCACGCUGCUCCAGCUUCUGGCCAGGCUUGCCUACGGGCCCUUCCUCUCCGCUGGCCACUGGCCGGGUGGUGGAUUUGGGAGCCUCUGCCACCAGCCCGUUCCCGAGAGUCAUCCCUCGCACUCUGAUAGCGCAUUUCCUGUUGGGGGCUGUCACACUUGACCUUUUCAUUUGGUCUUUUUGGGUGUUGUUUGCAUAACAGUGACAGAGGGCUCCAGGGGAGAGAGAUUCUUAACCGUACACAGAGGAAGGGGAGGCUGGGGAGCAGGAGGGGGCUGGGGGCAGCAUGGCGUGGUGGUCGGCGUGGUGGUCGGGAUGGAGGCCGGUGGGAAGUGGGACCCCAUGCCGGGACCAGGCCUGUGACAGGGCCGUGUCCAGGAGGGCCUUAGUUUCCACGUGAGCGGCGUCACGAGCGUGCCCUUGUGCGUGAGCGUGAGUGUCUUCAGAGCUGGCGUCCGGACCGGCCGGCCCCUCCUAUGGUCCAGGCCUGCAGACGACAGGAGCGUGGGAAAGGUCAGCCGGCAGAGCUUCGGGGCAGAGGUCCCCGUGUGUCAUGAGAUGGCCCCAGCCGAGGUGUGGUGACAUCUGAGGGGGUUCCAGAGCUCCGGGGGCGAUGGCGCUGCUGUCCCCAGGGACGUGGACGUGGCCCGUGGGGCAGGAAGGGUGCCCGGGCAGGGCUGCGUCAUCCCCUUCCCAUGCGGCAUUUCCCGCAUCUGCCCUAAGCUUUGGGCUUGUCCCGGUGCGUGUGUGGAGGGUCCUCUGGGGCCCCUGCCCACCUGUCUGGAGGGGCGGGAUGAGCCCCAGACUCCAUGAGGGCGCACGUUGUGUCUUGGCACUGCCCGUCGGGUUUUGCCACUCGCUCGCCACCUCCCCCAGAGGGCCAGCCCUCGAGGCCGGCGGGCGUCAUCUGUGGGUCCACCGCCUCCGGCCACGGCAGGCGCCCAGCAAGUGCUCACGGGGCGAAGGCAGGAGCGGACUUCGCUCCUGCUCGUUCCUGUGGCUUGCAAAGCGAGCUGCGUGAGGAGGAGGGCUGGCGUGAUUUGAACCACCCAACUCAAAGUGUCCUCAAGGUCACCGCCGUGGGUCGGACAGGAGACGCAAGUGUGUCUGAGUGUGCACGGCCUUGCCAGGGGUUUGUGCAGCGCCCGGUAAUGUGACCUGUGGGUCACCCGAUUCUGUGGGGGCACUGGGGUGUGUCUAAGAGGGUGGGCGUGGUGUCUAGAUUGGCCCCGGGAGGUGUGACGUCGGGGUCUCCCCUUCCCGAGGGAGUCCUCAUCCCCAGGGCUUGGCGUAGCUGGGGUCGGCACCCAGAGACGAUCUCUUGGACCAGCUGUGGCCAGCAAGUGACCCGUAACAGGCCCGCCCGCCACGGCAGCCUUGGGUCCCCGCAUCAUGUCCAUGGCACACCCCCUGGAGUGGCCGGGUGCGUACCUACCUGCUCGUGGGUCCAGUCACGUCUGCGGGUCCCUCUGCCUCUGCUUUGCUUCCUUCUGGCCGGGCCUCCUGGGGCUACUGGGGCCCUGUGGGAGGGUCCUCCCAUUGUGACCCUGUGGCUUCUCUCCACACAGACCCUAACCUCUGACCUCGUACUCAGUCGCACGUGUCACAAACCCCAGGAGUCCCAGCUGCCCGGGCCAGCACCUGCAGUGCUCCCGUGUGUUGUGAUUGCGGGGCUGAGACUCCCCGCGUGCCUGCUCCCCACAGCCAGGCGCCCGCCCGCCCCGCAUGGCGAGGAGAUUCCCGUAACGGCCUCCGGAGCCAGGGAGGCAGGUCUCGAUUCGCCGGGUAUGUUGCCUCUGGUGUCCUGGGUCUGGCACACACAUUUUCUGGAACGCAAGUAGGAGGCUUGGCUACCUGGGCUUCUGCUGGAAGCCACCUGGUUCCAGUGGCCAUCGGGCUGUAGUGGCCCAGAGUGCUGUGGCCACAUGACGUGGGCACCUGCGGGUCACUGAGAGCGGUUUCCUGUCUGAGGGAUCUGACACCGGACAGCGGGUGGCGAGUUUCAGGGUGAGGUUGGUUCAGAGCCAGAACUUUCUUUCCAUCUUUCCACCUCCUGGGGCCUCAGGGGACUUGGCAAGCAAUGACCUGGAGGGGCCCGGGCAGUGUGGCUUCAUCUCGGGUGGACCAGAGGACCUGCUGCACACUCAGCCCUGGACUGGGGGUGGCGUCGCAGCCAGCCACCUUCACCGGUUCCUCUCUGCGUUUGAGGACUGCGGUCGGUGUCCACGCCCCCGGGCAGCAUCCUGUGCUUUUAACCUUUUCUCAUCUGGGCCGGUUCCUGACUAAGGAUGUGCCUUCUACGGACUCUCGUCCCCAGGAGAGAUCUCUCCCAGGCAGAAUGUAACUCCCCCAGGACGUCCGGAAGGUGGUUGGCGCCUGCCAUCCCGCGGGACCUCAGGGUUCUUACUGGGAGGAAUCCGACACCUUAUCUGCUUUUCCGGUGCAGCCGCGCCGGCUCUAGCCGGGCCUCGUGCACACUGCGGGCGAGGCUGGGCUGCGGGGAGGCCAUGGCUCCAUCCCCACUCUCGGAGUGAGGCCCCGUGGUGGGGGCAUGUAGGGUCCCCGCAUUCUGGUUGCUCCCAGCACACCCCUGGUCUCUGGGGUCACCCUCCAUGUUGCCACCCUCUCUCUGCGUUCUCAGCUGAGGAGCUCUGGGCUCCCCGAGUUCUCGGGACUUCGCCAUCUGACCGCUGACUUCCUGUCUCCCAGCACAGAAUGCGUUUUGCUUUUCCUAGCCUGCUUUGCCUCUCAGCCCCCGUCCUGAGCCGGCCCAACAGGUGGAGGUAGGUGCAGCCACGGCUAAGUGUCCCCCCACGUGGACUCUUCCCAGGAUCUGGUGCCCCCAUCCCGCAAAGGGCGUAGACCCCACCUGCAACUCUGCCCGGUGCCAGCACCCACUGUCCCUCCACAGACUGCCUGCUUCUAGGUCCUCACGUGAGCCAGGUUGGUGUACGAGGGCCCGGAAUGGCUCCCUUUGGCCCCUAAGUUUCUGCUCCCCUUGCCUGUGUCUCCUGAUUGGGCAGGGACCCUGGACUCAGCCACGUAGGCCAUGAACAGGGCCCCGCAGGGCCUCUGCUGCUCCUGGCUCUAGCCGGGAGGAGUCCCACCUGGCCGCGCGGUGAGCAGGGAGAGCAGCCUGAGGGGCCCGCGACGUUGUGCCGACUGCGUGACCUUGAACUCCCUGCCUGUCUUCUCUGGGCCCAGCUCCCUGUCUCAGAGUGGGGCCUCAGUAUGCUCCUGUCGGGCUGGCUCCCUGCCUCUCAGAAAAAAGUCUCAAGUGCUGCGGUGACUUCAGAGCCUCUGUUCCAGCCGCUGGGGCCUCAGGUUCUUCCUCUAAGCCACAUUCCCACCCCAGGGCCUUCGCAUGCUGUUCCCGAUCCUGGAACAGGAAGUGUGUUUCAGAUCCCCCUGGCCCUCUUCAUUUCUCUGCUCGAGUGCCCCGGGCAGGAAGGCCUGGCCCCUGCUCCCUGGGUGAGACCCGCCCCCGCCUGCCGAGGAAGCACCUACCGCUUGGUCCCCACUUCGAACACUCCCUGGCACGUACUGGGUGCUCAAUAAAUAACCGCAUGAGUACAUUUGAACGGAAAUACAGCUUGAGAGAUGGUGUCGUGUGAACAAGAAGCCACAAACCAAGAAUUUAGAAGCACAAUGUUUGUAAAGCUGGCAUCGCAGGAAGGAGGAGCUGCAGGGAGGGGCUGGGAACCACUGUCUCCCGGUUCCUUCCUAAGCAAAGGCCACAGGGUUUCCGUAUGCACAGCUCGAGACCCUCCGUGAUUGCCUCGGGGCCGGCUUGGUGAAGGAGCCUCUGUGACUUUCAGCGAGGGGAGAACAAACAGGCUUUCGUAAGUCAGCCAACUUAGGCUCUCUGAAGCAGGAGCUGAUAACACGUUCCAGUCUGUCAGUGUAUUUUCCCCAGAAGACGACAGAGACCCCUUUCCUCGAUGAUGGGUCAUCCUGGUGGAACGUCGUGGGUCUUGACAGUGGAGACCUUCUCUGUAAGCUUCUGCUCAGGGGGAUGAGGGGCUGGCUCGCCUGUGGAGAGAGGGCAGUCCAGAGAGCUGGCUGGGGCUGGCGACCUGCAGGCCUACGUCUGUGGGUGGCUGAUGGAGACAGAGAGGGCCAGGGACUUCCCUGACAAUGCCCAUGCCCCAGGGUGUAGGAGAGACACCACCUUCUUUCUAUUAGGCAAAGGUCCUGCAUUCCCGCCUCUCCCACCUCCUGACCACACCUCCCACCCAGUCCUCGGCCCUCCUAGGGGUUCCACAGCCCCCAGGCUUCCUCCACAGCAGUGCGGCCUUGGCCUUGGGAGGGCGGAAGAGACCUUGGGGAGCAUCCUCUCCCCGCCAGCCUGCGGGCGGGGCCUGUGUCCCUGUCUUUGGUGCUAGCUCCUCCUCACGGCCCUCGGGCGCCCUCUGGUGGCUGGAGUGCGCACUGCACCCUGCUGCAGGCCGCGAGGCCUUGUCCAGUCCCUUCGGAGGCUGUGGUCAGUUGUGGCCGGCUGGCUAUUUUCCUGGACACUCAGUGGAUUCACUCACACGGUCCCAGGGACAGGCCAGCCUCAUCCUUAUAGCUGCUUUUGUCUCAGAGGCCUCCAGGCCAUCUCUGCCCUGGGCCCUGGUCAGCAGUGCCCCCCCGCCCCGCCCCAGGGCUGGCCCAUCAGGUCUCCCCAACUUGAGUCUUGCGGCUCCUCCUCUCUCAUAAACAAAUCUACUUCAAGCUUCACAAGGUGUCCUGGGGGUAGGGAAGAGCCCCUCUGUGGGCACACCUGCCGCUGUCCCACUGAGGACCAGGGGGACGCCCAGUCAAGCACCAACACCAGGGCCCUGCAGCUCUUCCUGGGGCCCAGCUAGGUCGGAGGGCCAUGUGUGGCUCUGAGCUUCUCCGAGAGAGCAGCCAGCGAAGGCCAGGACUGACCCUGUGCCAUCUGAGGGGCAGAAGUCAGUUACCUGUGGCCGCUGAUAGCCCAAAUGGCCGGAGGCUGGACGAGCCUCUUAUACAGACCAUCGCUUUCAGCAGACUCAUUGCGGACUCUGACGUCGGCACAGUUCUAAAGGCCCCGAGCCCGGCCAGCGCGCUGCCCUUCAGAGGAGGCUUCCUUUGGACAGAGCUCCCCCGGCUCAAGCAUCCUCCAGGCCGGACCGGUGUCCCAGCUGGUUCUCCCGAAGGCAGGUCUGAACGGCGUGCUCUGUGGCAGCUCGCUCGGCCAGCGGGGCCGCAGCCAUGAGCCUGAGGGGUCAGGGAUGGUCAGAGCUGUCCCAUUGUCAUCUGCCAGCAUCACGAGACCUUUGUAGACCAGCUUAUUUGUACAGUUUCUACCAGGAAAUGCAGAAAGCUCAGCCUGCAGCUUCCCAGAAGAGGAAGGAGCGUGCUGGCUGGGCUGUCCUCACACCCGGCCUCUGACCUCUGCCCGUCAGGGUGGAGUGGAGCGUGCCCUUGAGGGAGGGCCGGCCACCUCUGUGCUCCCCGCAUACCCCGGGUCCUCGAUCGCGGGGCCCAUGGGGUGGCUCCCCACCCCCCAUGUCCCCAGCUGACCUUGAUGCCACAAAGAGAAGGGAAAGGGAGGGAGGCAGGGGAGGGGUCAGUGUGUGUGCUCUGGGGGUGCAGAGACGUCUUGGGCGGGGGUGCCCAUGGAGGGGCAGGGAUGAGGGGCAGGGUGAAGGGAGAGAGCCUUCGCCAGACCAGACGGGGAGCCCUCAGGAGGGGAUGGAGAGGAGGGAGGCCUGGGGGAGGAACCCAGGGCUGGAGAGCAGGCGGCUGCUGGCAGGGUCGGCCCAGGCCCGGCGCCCAUCCCUAUCAGCCAUGGAGGGACUGGCAGGGGCCUCGGAGGCAGGACUGGGCUGCUAUAAAUACUCCUCAUACAGGCUGUCACUUGCAGGGACUUCUCUGGAUGCCAUAAAGGGAAGGGAAGGCGGAAAUUGUUUAAAAUGGUUGUCACAAUGACAUUUAACCUACUAAAUGUGUCAUGGCUUGUGGAACUUUUCACUGGUGACUUAAGGUCUGGCAAGAGCCUGGACACCCCUGGAGCCCCAGCCUGGGCCCCUGGGGAGGCUUCUCUCCGGGCGGGGGGUGGGACUCAGGCCGUGGCUGGGACCCAGCCUCGGUUGCUGAUCCAACGCCAUGGUCAGGGACAGGCCAGUGUCCCACCAGCCCAGCCAGUCCUCCCCUUCCUAGGCCAGCUGGGACUGCCCACCCCUCUGGGAGACUCACGCCCCAGCGGGCACGCUUUUACACAUUUUUGACCGAAAUCCCACAGUAAGAAAUGUGGUUUUCAUUCUGACCAAUGUAUAUAAAGUCUUACUGGGGGGCGCUCGAUAUUUUCCAUUCCACCCAAGAUUACCGCCUUUCACUCUGCUUUUCGUUAAAAAGUCUGAUCGAAAGCGCUACGCCGAUUUCACCACCUACAGUCAGAAAGCACCGGAAAAGCCCCCAGCUCAGGAGAGUCUUUUUUCAGAUGGCUUCCUAGGACCUUGUGCAGGGACGAGGCACCUUGAACAUGAUGAAAGCAUUAGGUUUGCGAAAGCGGGCGUUCCGUGGACAUGAACGUGUCUGGGACACAGAGGACGGGGCCUGACCGCUGCCAGGCCACCCCCAUCCGCGAAGUGGGCGGCCUCAGUGAUCUCCGCAGCCGCACGUGGGAGUCCCCUCAGACGCCCACUCUCUGGGGUGUGCCCGCAGCACCCAGGGCCGAGGAGAAGGCUCGCGCGUGCGUGUGCGUGCGUGUGCACAUGCACACACGUGUGAGUGAGGGUGCAGUGUGAAGCCAGGCAGCCACUGGGCACCCCUUCCGGCCUCUCGCCCACCUCGGGGAGCUCCUGCGUCCAGCAGGGACCACCGCCCAGCCCUGAGGAGCUCACUCCCUGGAGAGUCAGAGACCGGUGUCCACCCAGAGAUGACAGAAGACAGACGUGGGUCAGCUCCAGCCUCCCGGUGAGCUGUGAGGGCGGGGCCGACAAGGAGUUGUCAGGUCUGGGGUGAGGGUGGGUGCCUGGCAGAGGGGGCGCGGGAGAGGUGGCCCAGAUGCGGCCAGGCAGAGGGUGCGUCAUGGGCCGGGUCACGGGCCAGUAGUAGACCUUGGCUGAGUGAGUGAGUGAGUGGGCGGGCUGGGCGGUCAGCAGCAGGGGCUGGGGGAUGUCCCAGGGUGAGGAGAUCUGGCGAAGGUUAGGAGAUGCAGUGCCAGCUCCUGGCCUGGGCUCUGGCCCCAAGGAAGGGACACUGGUGGGCAGUGGGGGAGAUGCGGGCGUGGGCUGUGUGUGGGUGCGGCAGAGUCUGGCUUCAGAACUAAUUUCCUGUGUUUGACCUUGGAGAUGCGAUUAUGCAAGCAGUUAACAUUUGGGGAAGCUGCACGAAGCAAAUAUAGAAACUGUACUAUUUUUGAAA